GACGAACGCUGGCGGCGUGCUUAACACAUGCAAGUCGAGCGGUAAGGCCCUUUCGGGGGUACACGAGCGGCGAACGGGUGAGUAACACGUGGGUGACCUGCCCUUAGCUCUGGGAUAAGCCUGGGAAACUGGGUCUAAUACCGGAUAUGACCUCAUGACUCAUGUUGUGGGGUGGAAAGCCUUGUGCGGCUAGGGAUGGGCCCGCGGCCUAUCAGCUUGUUGGUGGGGUAAUUGCCUACCAAGGCGACGACGGGUAGCCGGCCUGAGAGGGCGACCGGCCACACUGGGACUGAGACACGGCCCAGACUCCUACGGGAGGCAGCAGUGGGGAAUCUUGCGCAAUGGGCGAAAGCCUGACGCAGCGACGCCGCGUGAGGGAUGACGGCCU
rnacentral:rRNA from 1 species